rnacentral:tRNA from 1 species
GGGGUUGUGGCUCAGCGGUAGAGCACUUGCCUAGAACAUGGGAGGUCUGGGUUCGAUCCUCAGCACCA